rnacentral:rRNA from 1 species
CACGUAGGGCGCAAGCGUUGUCCGGAAUUAUUGGGCGUAAAGAGCUCGUAGGCGGUCUGUUACGUCUGCUGUGAAAACCCGGGGCUUAACCCUGGGCUUGCAGUGGAUACGGGCAGACUAGAGGCAGGUAGGGGAGAAUGGAAUUCCCGGUGUAGCGGUGAAAUGCGCAGAUAUCGGGAGGAACACCGGUGGCGAAGGCGGCCCCCUGGACCGGUACUGACGCUGAGGCGCGAAAGCGUGGGUAGCAAACGGG